CACAUGCAAGUCGAACGCUGAAGCUCAGCUUUUGUUGGGUGGAUGAGUGGCGAACGGGUGAGUAACACGUGAGUAACCUGCCCCCUUCUUUGGGAUAACGCCCGGAAACGGGUGCUAAUACUGGAUAUUCACUGGUCUUCGCAUGGGGGUUGGUGGAAAGGGUUUUUCUGGUGGGGGAUGGGCUCGCGGCCUAUCAGCUUGUUGGUGGGGUGAUGGCCUACCAAGGCUUUGACGGGUAGCCGGCCUGAGAGGGUGACCGGUCACAUUGGGACUGAGAUACGGCCCAGACUCCUACGGGAGGCAGCAGUGGGGAAUAUUGCACAAUGGGCGCAAGCCUGAUGCAGCGACGCCGCGUGAGGGAUGGAGGCCUUCGGGUUGUGAACCUCUUUCGCUCAUGGUCAAGCCGCAACUGUGGGUUGUGGUGAGGGUAGUGGGUAAAGAAGCGCCGGCUAACUACGUGCCAGCAGCCGCGGUAAUACGUAGGGCGCGAGCGUUGUCCGGAAUUAUUGGGCGUAAAGGGCUUGUAGGCGGUUGGUCGCGUCUGCCGUGAAAUCCUCUGGCUUAACUGGGGGCGUGCGGUGGGUACGGGCUGACUUGAGUGCGGUAGGGGAGACUGGAACUCCUGGUGUAGCGGUGGAAUGCGCAGAUAUCAGGAAGA
rnacentral:rRNA from 1 species